AUCUCUGGGGCCCAAACAAUUCUGUGCCUCCCGCCUUCCGAGUAGCUGGGAUUUACAGGUGCCCGCCACCAUGCCUGGCUAAUUUUUGUAUUUUUAGUAGAGACGGGGUUUCACCAUGUUGGCCAGGCUGGUCUCGAACUCCUGACCUCAGGUGACCUGCCCAUCUGGGCCUCCCAAAUUGCUGGGAUUACAGGAGUGAGUCACUGUGCCCGGCCAGGCCUGAUGAUUUUCAUUGCAAUAAUUCUACAAUCAUUUCUUCUGGACUUUAAUUCAAAGUUGGUCUCUUUUGCCCAGACUGCUGUCACAGCUUUCUUCUGGGCUCUCUGCUUCCUGGUUCCUUCCUCCGACUCAUCUGGCCCUUGUUGCCCCGGUGAAAGUGAGACCUUCCUGAUCUCCUCUGCGAUUCUCUGCGGUCCAUCCUUGUAGACCCCAUCUUCAGUCUGGCAUGCAGUGACCUCCACAGCCAAGCCCUGAUCAUCUCUGUAACAUUCUCACUUGCUGAAACCGUUUUUCUCGUGCCCUGUGUUCUGGUCGUGUUCAACUAUAUUCCAUUUCCCCAAGUGCUUGCAAUUUCACGCCUCUCCACUCUGCCGAAGUGUCUCUUGGAUUCCAGGAGAAAGCUCCUCCCUCUCAGGAUCCUGAUCCUGCACAUCCACACUCCAGAAUCAGAAGGCCGGGGAGAGCGAUCAGCACAUCUUAAAGUGUGAUUCCUUGUUGAACGAAUUCACCCUGAGGCAAAAGAAAGAAAUCCCAGCAGGGUACACGGAGAAUGUCAGAUUUCAUCCUAAGUCAAUGAUGUGGAACUGGGAGGUAAGGAGCUGUUGGUUGUGCUUUGGUUCUAGUCAUUCCAAACCAAGGAAAUAUUCAGGCAUGGGCAAAAAGAGGAUGUAACCCAAGGGGAGACUCCUGUGUGAGGCAGAGACUCAGAUAUGGGAGAGAGGAUCACUGAGGGGCAAAUGGCCUACUUGGGAAUAGGACCUUCCAAUGGCCACCAGUUUAUCUAUAUGGUUCUCACCAAUUUAUCCAUGUGGUUCCCACCAGUUUAUUCAUAUGUUUCCCACCAGUUUAUCCAUGUGGUCCCCACCAGUUUAUCCAUGUGGUCCCCACCAGUUUAUCCAUGUGGUCCCCACCAGUUUAUCCAGGUGGUCCCCACCAGUUUAUACAUGUGGUCCCCACCAGUUUAUUCAUGUGGUGCCCACCAGUUUAUCCAUGUGGUGCCCACCAGUUUAUCCAUGUGGUUCCCACCAGUUUAUCCAGGUGGUCCCCACCAGUUUAUACAUGUGGUCCCCACCAGUUUAUCCAGGUGGUUCCCACCAGUUUAUACAUAUGGUUCCCACCAGUUUAUCCAUGUGGUUCCAUCUUGCCUGUCUCUCUGCUCUGCACUGGGAUAAGAAACCUCGAUGAAGGAAAAUAGGGCAUGGGGUUGUUGAGUGGUCUAGAGAGUGACAAGGAUCUGAAGAGCUGGGAGGCUUGCUGGAUUUCACGCUGGAGUGCAAGAGGAGCUCUGAGCGUCCAGAAGGGUCUGAGGACAGCUUAGAAUAGGAGGAAUGUGCACCGAAACCAGGCACUAAAAGACUUCUGUGGACCAGAAAAGGUUGUAAAUUCCACAUGGUUGUUGUUCCCACCUCCUGAGAGCUGCCCUGUGGAAAAAGGCACUGUAACAGAACACGGGUCAGUGUGCUUGUCUUGAGGGAGCUGGGCAAACUGUGUCCCCCUCCAUAAACAGACCUGGGAAGGAUGGAGCCCCAUGGAGGAGACAGUGAUGGAAGAAGAUAGGUGGCUAGAACCAGAAUCAAGAAGAAAGGGGCCAUGUGCGGUGGCUCACACCUGUAAUCCCAGCACUUCGGGAGGCUGAGGCAGGUGGAUUACGAAGUCAGGAGAUUGAGACCACCCUGGCCAACACGGUGAAACCCUGUCUCUACUAAAAAUGCAAACAUUUGCUGGGCCUGGUGGUGCACGCUUGUAAUCUCAGCUACUUGGGAGGCUGAGGCAGGAAAAUCACUUGAACCCAGGAGGCAGAGGUUGCAGUGAGCUGAGAUAGCGUGACUGCACUCCAGCCUGGCGACAGAGAAAGACUCCAUCAAAAAAACAAAAAGAAAGAGAGAGAGAGAGAGAGAGAAAGAAAGAGAAAGAAAGAAAGAAAGAAAGAAAGAAAGAAAGAAAGAAAGAAAGAAAGAAAGAGGGAAUGAAUUCUUGGUCCCUUCAGCAGGAAGAGAGAGGGCUCAUUUUCAGCCUAAGAUAGAGAAUGGGCUGUAUAGAAUUCCUAGAAUCCUCUAUGGGGGUGUGUGGUGAGUCCGGUCCUAAUUUGGGCUCAGAGAUGUCUGAGUAUUUGUCAUCAUCAGUCAUUAGACAAGGUUGGAGGUUUAUAAAGCAACAGGUUUCUGGUCUCCUUGGUGGGUAGAGCCAGGCUGGUUUCUUUGUUUGCAACAAGAAAGCACUCAUUGAAUUUUCUUCAAAGUAGAUCCAUGGAGGAGAUACUGUUAAGACUUAUGAGAGCCAGCCCUGCUCCCAGAACAGAGUGGGAGGUGUCUACAACUUCCAUCUUUCUGAUCCUUUUUGUUGUUGCAAAUUACGUCAACUCACAGUUCCUGCUCCCCAAGACUUUUGUUGCACAUGAUGUUUGGUCUGCUAGGGUUCUGUUUCUGCUUCAUCCCAUCAUUUUGCAUUUCCUCCAAGCACUUAUUGGUUUAGGCUCUCCAUGUUCCCAAGGGUGAGCAUCUUACUUCCUCAUCUCCUUUUUCUCUGUUAGGCCCUGUUGCAGGAUAUUUGAAUUGGUGACCCUUGGUGGACUGCCACUUCUGAUCUUAUCAGCCAUAGGGAAAGGAUGAGGGGGCUAUUUCAUGCUUCUGCCUCCGUUUGAACAUCAGGCCCUUCUCUCUGUUGCUACAGAGUGUGUUGACUCGUAAUUCUUGCCCCACACACUUGUGCUGCACGCAAUUUCUGCUCUUUGUUUACAGCAUGGAGGCCCAGGCCUUCUGCAGAAGACAAUGAAAAACAUCUCCU
rnacentral:lncRNA from 1 species